rnacentral:tRNA from 1 species
GGCGCAGCUGGCCGACGGUACGGCCGCGCUCGCCUUGCAGGCGGGCGACGGGCAGACCGGUUUCCUGGUGCGCGCGUUCGAUCAGCGCGUCGCCG